rnacentral:rRNA from 1 species
UUGAAAGGGAAACGAUUGAAGUCAGUCGUACCAGCGGGAAAUCAACCUUUCGAGUGGGGGUUUUGGAGUUUUGAAGAGUGUCAAAACCUUUGAGAUUUCAAAAUAUUCGCUCUUUUGGUGUACUUUCUCGUGGGUAGGUUAACAUCGAUUUUGAUCAUCAUAAAAAGAUUGGAGGAAUGUAGCUUCGAUCUUGUAUUGAAGUGUUAUAGCCUUUGGUAAAUGUGAUGAUUAGGAUCGAGGAUUGCAACGAAUACCCUUUUGGGCUAUCCGCCUGAUCUCUGAUACGUGGCCUUGGUAUCGAAAGCUUGCUUAUNGNNNUNAGGUAUUACGGUCAAAAGGUUAGAACGGAUUNCAUUCGUUAAGGACGUUGACGUA